GAUGAACGCUGGCGGCGUGCUUAACACAUGCAAGUCGAACGGAAAGGCUCCUGCUUGCAGGGGUACUCGAGUGGCGAACGGGUGAGUAACACGUGGGUGAUCUGCCCUGCACUUCGGGAUAAGCCUGGGAAACUGGGUCUAAUACCGGAUAGGACGAUGGUUUGGAUGCCAUUGUGGAAAGUUUUUCGGUGUGGGAUGAGCUCGCGGCCUAUCAGCGUGUUGGUGGGGUAGUGGCCUACCAAGGCGUCGACGGGUAGCCGGCCGGCGAGGGGGUACGGCCACAUGGGGAAUGGGAGACGGAGCAGACUACGACGGGAGGCAGCAGUGGGGAAUAGGGCAGAACGGGCGGAGGCAUGAUGCAGCAACGCGGCGUGGGGGAGGAAGGCCUUCGGGUUGGAAACCGAUGUAGCCUGUGAAGAAGCGUGAGUGACGGGAAUGGGGAAAGAAGCACCGGCUAACUACGUG
rnacentral:rRNA from 1 species